rnacentral:rRNA from 1 species
UACGGGGGGAGCGAGCGUUGUCCGGAAUUACUGGGCGUAAAGGGCGUGUAGGUGGUUAGGUAAGUCAGGUGUGAAAGCUUCCGGCUUAACCGGGAAAAUGCAUUUGAUACUGUCUGACUUGAGUGCGAGAGAGGGUAGUGGAAUUUCCAGUGUAGCGGUGAAAUGCGUAGAUAUUGGGAAGAACACCAGUAGCGAAGGCGGCUACCUGGCUCGUAACUGACGCUAAGGCGCGAAAGCGUGGGGAGCAAACAGG